rnacentral:rRNA from 1 species
GAUGAACGCUAGCGGGAGGCCUAACACAUGCAAGCCGAGCGGUAUUUGUUCUUCGGAACAGAGAGAGCGGCGCACGGGUGCGGAACACGUGUGCAACCUGCCUUUAUCUGGGGGAUAGCCUUUCGAAAGGAAGAUUAAUACCCCAUAAUAUAUUGAGUGGCAUCAUUUGAUAUUGAAAACUCCGGUGGAUAGAGAUGGGCACGCGCAAGAUUAGAUAGUUGGUGAGGUAACGGCUCACCAAGUCAAUGAUCUUUAGGGGGCCUGAGAGGGUGAUCCCCCACACUGGUACUGAGACACGGACCAGACUCCUACGGGAGGCGGCAGUGAGGAAUAUUGGACAAGGGGUUAGCGCCUGAUCCAGCCAUCCCGCGUGAAGGACGACGGCCCUAUGGGUUGUAAACUUCUUUUAUAUAGGGAUAAACCUACUCUCGUGAGAGUAGCUGAAGGUACUAUACGAAUAAGCACCGGCUAACUCCGUG